UACGUAGGGGGCAAGCGUUAUCCGGAUUUACUGGGUGUAAAGGGAGCGCAGGCGGUAUGGCAAGUCAGAUGUGAAAACCCAGGGCUCAACCCCGGAACUGCAUUGGAAACUGUAUUUCUAGAGUGUCGGAGAGGCAAGUGGAAUUCCUGGUGUAGCAGUGAAAUGCGUAGAUAUCGAGAGGAACACUCGUGGCGAAGGCGGGUUCCUGGACAUUAACUGACGCUGAGGCACGAAGGCCAGGGGAGCGAAAGGG
rnacentral:rRNA from 1 species